rnacentral:lncRNA from 1 species
ACGUAUAUGCCUAGAUGGCCUGAAGUAACUGAAGAAUCACAAAAGAAGUGAAUAUGCCCUGCCCCACCUUAACUGAUGACAUUCCACCACAAAAGAAGUGUAAAUGGCCGGUCCUUGCCUUAACUGAUGACAUUACCUUGUGUGCGACCCCCACUCCUGCCUGCCAGAGAACAAACCCCCUUUGACUGUAAUUUUCCUUUACCUACCCAAAUCCUAUAAAACGGCCCCACCCUUAUCUCCCUUUGCUGACUCUCUUUUCGGACUCAGCCCACCUGCACCCAGGUGAAAUAAACAACCAUGUUGCUCACACAAGGCCUGUUUGGUGGUCUCUUCACACGGACGUGCAUGAAAUUUGGUGCCGUGACUCGGAUCGGGGGACCUCCCUUGGGAGAUCAAUCCCCUGUCCUCCUGUUCUUUGCUCCGUGAGAAAGAUCCACCUACGACCUCAGGUCCUCAGACCGACCAGCCCAAGAAACAUCUCACCAAUUUCAAAUCCGGUAAGCGGCCUCUUUUUACUCUCUUCUCCAACCUCCCUCACUAUCCCUCAACCUCUUUCUCCUUUCAAUCUUGGCGCCACAAUUCAAUCUCUCCCUUCUCUUAAUUUCAAUUCCUUUCAUUUUCUGGUAGAGACAAAGGAGACACGUUUUAUCCGUGGACCCAAAACUCUGGCGCCAGUCACGGACUGGGAAGGCAGCCUUCCCUUGGUGUUUAAUCAUUGCAGGGCUGCCUCUCUGAUUAUUCACCCACGUUUCAAAGGUGUCAGACCACGCAGGGACGCCUGCCUUAGUCCUUCACCCUUAGUGGCAAGUCCCGCUUUCCUGGGGCAGGGGCAAGUACCCCAACCCCUUCUCUCCGUGUCUCUACCCCUUCUCUGCUUUUCUGGAAGAGGGGCAAGUACCACUCAACCCCUUCUCCUUCACCCUUAGCGGCAAGUCCCGCUUUUCUACGGGGCAAGAACCCCCAAUCCCUUAUUUCUGCACCCCAACCUCUUAUCUCUGUGCCCCAAUCCCUUAUUUACGCACCCCAACCUCGUAUCUCUGUGCCCCAAUCCCUUAUUUCCGUGCCCCAACCUCUUAUAUCUCUGCACCCCAAUCCCUUAUUUCUGCACCCCAACCUCUUUUAUCUCUGUGCCCCAAUCCCUUAUUUCCAUGCCCCGACCUCUUAUUUCUGCGCCCCAUCCCUUAUUUCCAUGCCCUGACCUCUUAUCUCUGCGCCCCAACCUCUUAUCUCUGUGCCCCAACCCCUUUUCCCACUUUUCUGGAAGGUAAGAACCCCCGAACCCCUUCCCUCCAUUUCUCUACUCUCUCUUUUCUCUAGGCUUGCUUCCUUCACUAUGGGCAACCUUCCACCCUCCAUUCCUCCUUCUACUCCCUUGGCCUGUGUUCUCAAAAACUUAAAACCUCUUCAACUUACACCUGACCUAAAACCUAAAUGCCUUAUUUUCUUCUGCAAUGCCGCUUGACCCCAAUACAAACUCGACAGUAGUUCCAAAUAGCCAGAAAAUGGCACUUUGAAUUUUUCCAUCCUGCAAGAUCUAAAUAAUUCUUGUCGUAAAAUAGGCAAACGGUCUGAGGUGCCUGACAUCCAGGCAUUCUUUUACACAUCAGUCCCUUCCUAGUCUCUGUGCCCAGUGCAACUUGUCCCAAAUCUUCCUUCUUUCCCUCCCGCCUGUCCCCUCAGUAUUAACCCCAAGCGUCGCUGAGUCUUUCUAAUCUUCCUUUUCUACAGACCCAUCUGACCUCUCCCUUCCUCCCCAGGCUGCUCUUCGCCAGGCCGAGCUAGGUCCCAAUUCUUCCUCAGCCUCUGCUCCUCCACCCUAUAUAAUCUUUUUAUCACCUCCCCUCCUCACACCUGGUCCGGCUUACAGUUUCGUUCCGUGACUAGCCCUCCCCAUCCUGCCCAGCAAUUUACUCUUAAAAAGGUGGCUGGAGCUAAAGGCAUAGUCAAGGUUAAUGCUCCUUUUUCUUUAUCCCAAAUCAGAUAGCGUUUAGGCUCUUUUUCAUCAAAUAUAAAAAUCCAGCCCAGUUCAUGACUCGUUUGGCAGCAACCCUGAGACACUUUACAGCCCUAGACCCUAAAAGGUCAAAAGGCCGUCUUAUUCUCAAAAUACAUUUUAUUACCCAAUCUGCUACCGACAUUAAAUAAAACUCCAAAAAUUAAAUUCCGGCCCUGAAACCCCACAACAGGAUUUAAUUAACCUCGCCUUCAAGGUGUACAAUAAUAGAAAAAAGUUGCAAUUCCUUGCCUCCACUGUGAGACAAACCCCAGCCACAUCUCCAGCACAUAAGAACUUCCAAACGCCUGAACCGCAGCGGCCAGGCGUUCCUCCAGAACCUCCUCCCACAGGAGCUUGCUACACGUGCCGGAAAUCUGGCCACUGGGCCAAGGAAUGCCCGCAGCCUGGGAUUCCUCCUAAGCUACGUCCCAUCUGUGUGGGACCCCACUGAAAAUCGGACUGUUCAACUCACCUAGCAGCCACUCCCAGAGCCCCUGGAACUCUAGCCCAAGGCUCUCUGACUGACUCCUUCCCAGAUCUUCUCGGCUUAGCGGCUGAAGACUGACACUGCCCGAUCGCCUCAGAAGCCCCCUAGACCAUCACGGAUGCUGAGCUUCGGGUAACUCUCACAGUGGAAGAUUGUCUUACAGGUGGGCCAGUAUGUACAACCUAACACUGAGUUUUCAAGGAACAAGUUUCUGUUGCUGCUGCUCUAGCAUUCAUGCACUGUGGAGCCCGGAAACUUCUCGGGACAAGGAGCACAAUGCCAGGCCUUGUCGAGGGCCGCUGCAGUGGAGAGGCCAGACCGGGGGUGCCAGAGCCAACCGCAGACCAAGGAAGUGAACCCUGCACAUCCGGAUACUUGAAAUGUCAGCUUGUGGAGGAUCUCCCGCAGGAAUCUGACUUUAUACACAAACAAAGACAUUGAGCUUUCUGCUGAGGUGAGCUCAGAACGGAUGAACUUAGUCUUCUCUGCAGUGAUGCAAGCCUCUGUCAUGUGGAAGUUACAGACGAUGCUAGUGAAAUGUGGAUGGUCUCCUGGCCCACUGCAUCAUGCAAGAGGGCUGCUUUACAGAGGCCAACCCUUGAAAGACUUGAUAUAUUUCUACUAACAAUCAUGAAGACACUCUUCAGAGAAAAUUCCAGAUAAGAACAGCAUCUAAGCCUCACCUACUUUUUGGUUAUAUCAUUCUUGCAUAACCUGCCAAAGGCAGCUAGAGGGGAACACAGUCUCUGGAUGUCCACUGACAGAGACUUACCAAUUUACACUUCAUUCCUGACUAUUAGGAGUUAUAAAAACGAGAGAAUACUAUUGCAAGCCAGUAGAAAUAAAGAUGGGAGUGUCCAUGGGAAAUGAAAAGAAAGGCACAGCCCUCUUCAGAUCCUGAAAAGGAGAUUUAAAUUUGCCUCUUAAGAGUAACACAACACAGAACCAUUCUGGAAGCAUAUCGUUCCAAUAUAACAUUUCGGUAUAGAUGUCACGAAGGGAGGAAAAAUGGUAGAGAGCAAAUAUCUAUAGGACAAUGGAGUAGAGGAAUAGAACAAAGUACUGAGAAAGGGCUUGGUGAAAUGGGAAGGAAAAACAAAUCCAAAUGGCAACAAUGCACAAAGUAAUUUCAGGCUCUGUGUGUGUGUAUCUCCAUUGUUUUCAAGGAUCAGUUUUAAUUUCUUUGAAAAAUAGAAGCUCAAAGAUAAGUAGCAAAGAAUGUAUUGCCAAUGAAAAGACUCUCAAGUCCGCAUGUGUGUCAGGGCAGCUGCAGAUAGUGGUGUAGGCUGUGCACUGCACAAAAGCACCACAUCUAGAGGGGCAUGAUUAACGUCACAGACAUCAGAUUUAUUGUGACAAUAUUCCAGUAGAUGGCAGUGUACUAAGGGAGGGAGUCUUUUUAAAAUGUACAAUGGCACCAUGAGGCCCCAAAACAGCCUUGACUUCACCAAAAAGAAAUGAAUGUCCUAACUGAAGGGACUCUGUGAAAUUAGUAGCAAUUUCCAUUCUUUGGAAAUAGAAUGCUCAUUGCAUUUAAUUUUAAAGUCACAACAUGUAAAGGGUAAAGAGAAUAUAUGGAGACCUCCUUAGAUAUCAAUUUCAUUUGCUCUGUUUCUGGUUUCUUUUCUUAAUUGCUUCUGUCUAAUUCAGUGUUCUCUAAAAGUAAUAUUUUACUUUUUAAGGUAAUAUAGCAUUAUUCUUUUAUUCCUUCCAAAGAACUAAAAAGGGAAAAUUGUGCGAAUUGAGGCAACACAUCAUGCUUUUACAAAUUUGUGCAAUUUCUAUUACUGAAUCAUAAAUAUUUAAGGACACGCAUCCGAACCAUCACAAAGGAAAAUUUUACAUUGGAUGAUUCCAAGUGAAUAUGUCUUUUAGUAAACACUAUGUGCCAUUAUCUAAAUCACAGAAAAAUAGCCUGCAUUUCAAAUUCUGAAAAUUGGGCAAAUUAAAUAUUGGUCUGCACAGCACGAUAUGAGUCUAUCUUUCUCUGAUUUUCCCACUUCUGCUUUUUGUCUAGUAAUGGAGAAAAGAACAAUUCAGGCAAACUCUUCCUUGCUUUUGGAACAAAGCAAGCCAGGUGUGAGAAAGUAUUUGUUAUAGGCCUGCAAUUUUAUACCCCCAUGGACACUGAAUUAUUAAUGGAGAAAAGAGAGAACAAAUAACCAAGAGAGGGUUCUUGGCAGCCAUUGUUUGAAGUUCAUGGUGUUACACAACAUUGAGCAUGUCCAAUUCACCUGCCAG